rnacentral:misc_RNA from 1 species
GAUGAAGAACGUAGCGAAAUGCGAUAAGUAAUGUGAAUUGCAGAAUUCAGUGAAUCAUCGAAUCUUUGAACGCACAUUGCGCCCCUUGGUAUUCCGAGGUGCAUGCCUGUUCGAGCGUCAUUAUAACCCCUCAAGCUCAGCUUGGUGUUGGGGCCUGCUGCACUGGCAGCCCUUAAAAUCAGUGGCGGCGCCAUCUGGCUCUAAGCGUAGUAAUUCUUCUCGCUAUGGAGUCCUGGUGGAUGCUUGCCAUCAACCCCCAAUUUUUCUAUGGUUGACCUCGGAUCAGGUAGGGAUACCCGCUGAACUUAAGCAUAUCAAUAAGCGGAGGA